UAAGUCCCGCAACGAGCGCAACCCUUAUCCUUUGUUGCCAGCGGUCCGGCCGGGAACUCAAAGGAGACUGCCAGUGAUAAACUGGAGGAAGGUGGGGAUGACGUCAAGUCAUCAUGGCCCUUACGACCAGGGCUACACACGUGCUACAAUGGCGCAUACAAAGAGAAGCGACCUCGCGAGAGCAAGCGGACCUCAUAAAGUGCGUCGUAGUCCGGAUUGGAGUCUGCAACUCGACUCCAUGAAGUCGGAAUCGCUAGUAAUCGUGGAUCAGAAUGCCACGGUGAAUACGUUCCCGGGCCUUGUACACACCGCCCGUCACACCAUGGGAGUGGGUUGCAAAAGAAGUAGGUAGCUUAACCUUCGGGAGGGCGCUUACCACUUUGUGAUUCAUGACUGGGGUGAAGUCGUAACAAGGUAACCGUAGGGGAACCUGCGGUUGGAUCACCUCCUUA
rnacentral:rRNA from 1 species